rnacentral:rRNA from 1 species
GAAGACGGCCAUAGUAGGUUGGAAACACCUGUUCCCAUUCCGAACACAGAAGUUAAGCUUCCUAUGUUGGCGAAAUAGUACCCGAGAGGGCGCAAACUCACCAAGCUGUCUUUC